rnacentral:rRNA from 1 species
UACAGAGGGUGCGAGCGUUGUCCGGAAUCACUGGGCGUAAAGGGCGCGUAGGUGGCGACCCAAGUCCAUGGUGAAAGCUCGAUGCUCAACAUCGAGUCGGCCACGGAUACUGGGUUGCUGGAGCACUGUAGAGGCAGAUGGAAUUCCGGGUGUAGCGGUGGAAUGCGAAGAGAUCCGGAAGAACACCGGUGGCGAAGGCGGUCUGCUGGGCAGUUGCUGACACUGAGGCGCGACAGCGUGGGGAGCAAACAGG